rfam:Gossypium arboreum cultivar AKA8401 contig_31436_5, whole genome shotgun sequence.
AAACCAUAGUGAGGGCACAUUCUCAAUAAAUCCUUAUAUCUCUUCUAUGCACCAUAAAGUGUUUCUAAAUCCACCUGCACAAAAGAGGAGAUAUCAUUCCUCAAUUU